UAGGUAGCAAACCCGUGAAGCAUCAUACCUAAUGGUAAUGAUUGAUAAGAACCUGUGAUUACAGAUGCUUUACGUUGAAAUGUGUGCAAGCUUCACAUGCCUCUUAAUCCCAUAUCAGUGCUAGUUCAGGAUCUAGCAAGGAUCGAAUCGAAGAAAGUCAUUCUUGCACUCGCUUGAGAUCUGUUGUGGCAUUAAUGGAGAUCAUCAAUCUGUCUCCUUAGGGAGACACUGUCCUUCAACUGUCUUAGAUUUGACAAAGAUCUUGACAUCUACCACCUCUACAUUUGGAAUCUUAUAGAGCCCCCGAAUCAUGGAUCAAGCUCUCCAAUUAGCUGGCACUAGUAGCCCCAGGAGCGAGAAUGUAGACUGCAUGCAUAUUAUUUAUUGCUGUUGACUUUGACUUCUCUUUGCCAACUGGUUCUAUUAAAUUGCUGCUUGUCUACAAUCGGAGCAAAUGUACAUUGCAUGUGGUGCCAAGCAAUUGGCAUCACAAGAGUACAUUGCUAUUUGGUACUUCCUGUUUCUUGGUGGCAACACCUUUAAUUAUUUCCAA